rnacentral:tRNA from 1 species
CCGCGCGCCAGGCGGGCGAUCUCCACCCCCUGGCCGCUGUGGACGGCCAUCAUCUGCAGGAACAUCACAUCGGCCGGGUUGAAGUCCCGGCCGGUGGC